UUUACAUAGAAAUUAGGAGCUUUUGGCUUUAAUCACCUUUAUUUAGACAUUUACAAUGUUUACUACUGAAGAAACUUUAUAAUUAUUCUAAAAUUUAUCACAAAUAAAUAGUGAUAAUGACGAAUGGAUCUAGACCUAAAUAUAUUAUCAUAUAUACAUUAGAAUUUUAACAAUUAAGAUCCAGGUUCUGAGCCUGAGGACAGUGACUCAUGACAGUGACUGAGUGAGGUACUCGUCUGUAACUACUGCUCUGGCAGUACUGGUUAGUGGUAGGCAAAGAUUCCUAUAGAUCCAAGCCUAAGAUGAAUGAAAACAACAGAAAUGGCAGAUCUAAAUCCAAUAUUCAUCCACCAUGAUGGGCCUUUUCUUGGUACCGGUAUAUUUUCUAGCAAUUUUUUUAGUAUUGUUUUUUGGUAAAAAUCAUCACCAUCACUAAACUGGUUCAAGUUGCACUCCAAAAAAAGGUUUACUACUAAAUAAAAGUAAAAUAUAAAACUAUUCUAGAUCCAUAAUUUAUCACAAAGGAACAGUAAUACUGAUCUAUUAGAUGUCUAAAUCUAGGGUAAUAUUUGAAGAUAGUGAGUUAUAAUCCUUUUGGGUUGGUAGAUUUUUCAUUCGAGGUUCAAUUUGAGCAGACGUGUUCCUGAAGUGCUUAGCAGUAAAACUUUAAAAAAAUAUCCCUCCAUAUAAAAUAUUUACUAUUCGGAUCAGCAAUCCCACCAAUAAACACUUUUCCCAUUACAAGAUAUUAUAAACUAAUCAUUAAAAUAUAAACCAGAAGUCCACAGGCUAAGGUUUAUAAUUCAGAGUGAAACAAAUCACUAUUUUGGUUAAAAAGAAAAUAUUUAAAAAAAAAAAGUUCAGCCUGUAAAUGACGAAACAAAUAGUUCUAUACUAUUCAACUUCAGGUGGUCUGCUAAUGUACAAGUAUUUUUAUCUCAGCUGGUCUGAGCAAGGAGACAUCUCAGUAUGCUACGGUAGCCACAGGUGUUGUAAAAGUCAUGAUGACCUUCAUAUCUGCUCUGAUCAUGGACCGGGCAGGCAGAAGAACUCUGCACAUGAUUUGCCUCGUGGGCAUGUGUAUCUCCUCAGUAGUACUAGUUGUUUACCUUUCACUACAGAAAACAUUGCCCUGGCUAUCAUACAUAAGCAAUUGUGGCUGUCAUCAUCUACACCUGUCUCUUUGCUACUGGACCAGGAACAUUACCUUGGAUCAUGGUGACUGAGAUGUUUGCGCAGGGUCCUAGGUCAGCCUCUGUCAGUGUUUCCAUGGUGACUGAGAUGUUUGCGCAGGGUCCUAGGUCAGCCUCUGUCAGUGUUUCCGUGGUGAUCAAUGUUUCCUAUUUUACAGAAGUCACUAGAAACAUAUUCCUUUCUGCCUUUCCCCGUCAUGCUGUUGUUGUUCUUCAUCUUCACCUAUAUGUUUGUCCCAGAGACCAAAGGCAAAAGUAUUUCUGAGAUUAACCCAGCUGUUUAAAUCUCCCACUAUGGAUAGAUCAGAAUCCAGAAAUUCCUACGAAAGCUCAAAGAACAGAUACAGCACCCUAGUCUUGAUAAUUGAUCCACCUCUCUCAGAAAAGUGACGGAAUAUUAUAUCGAGUCCAGCUACUUAUAGAAUUUAGGUGGCUGAACAAUUUUGGCUGCCGUUUUAUUUUUUGAAAUGUUAGUCUUUUGAUUUAGUUUCAUGUUGUUGGAUAAAUUUGUUAUUUAUAACAUUUUAUUAUAAUAUAUACAGGGCUUUCAUUAUUAUAUCAAUGCAAAUACAAUUAAUCAGUUUUAAAAAAUAUAUUCAUCAUUUUAAAUGACAACUUUUGUUAUAUUGUUCUAAAUAUGUAUGAUCAUGUAUCAACAUACCUCAAUAGAAUUGUGAUAACACACCACAACAGUUGUUUAUGAGAUACCAUUUAAUACAUUUAAAGGAGGCCAGAGACUUUUUUUCCAAUAAAGUGAUUUAAAACUAUGUACCCCUUCAGUCUUUUAUAUUAUAUUUAUAAAACUAAUUAAAGCAGCUUUAUUCUGGCUGACAAUGUCUGUGCUGGAUGUGGCAAAAUAUGUAAGUUGCAGCUGGGGUUAGGUAGCCAUGGGAAAUACUGCUUUCAUUACAUCUUCAGACUUGAAGACAAGCCUUGUUAUUAUUAAUCUGGUCAGUGAUUUCAGUGCAAUAUGAACACUAAUGUUUUGUGUAACUAUUUUUCAAUAAGAUUGUUUUCUAUUAAAAAUAUUUUUAUUAUAAGUUUCAA